rnacentral:lncRNA from 1 species
CACCUAUAUAGUUUAUAUGACAAACAGUCAGUGAAUUUAUUCACUGAGUGUCCUGUUCUCUUUGAGUAUUUGAGACUGAAAGGAAAAGAUUAAUUCAGUCAUUUCAAAUGUAUUCCCUAUUGAAUCCUGAAUGUAUUUCUGUUAUAUAAUCCAGUAAGGGGCAAAUUCUUACUUCUCCUUUGCUUUUACGGGUGAAAAAGGCUCACAAGAAACCUUAAUUAAUACGUUUCCAUUUAGAUACUGGAUAUUCUUGCCCUAAGGGGAACCAUACUUCUAUUGGAUCUCUGUGCCCUGGUUUUGGAAGUGCUCCUUCUGACUGGACAGAUUGUAGGAACUGGAAAAGAGCGUUCUCUUCAACACAAAAUAUUGACUGGCAGAAUGGCAAAAGAAGAGUGUUAUUAGAGAUCGAUGAUCAGUCUGGCACAGAGAACACAAAUGAGGAGGACACAUCUGAAAUCUGGAUCCAGAAAAGUCGUUCAGUAAGACAAUCACAUGACACACAUUGA